rnacentral:lncRNA from 1 species
AUGGGCACCAUUCCUGCCUCACAUAGCCUCUGUGGGGACCCUGUGACAACUGUAGAAUGCAGGAGGCAGAGAUUUGUGCUCAGCUGGGCUUCUCCCCAAGGGCGGGCUGGCCAGCUUUGGACCUGCAGGCUCUUCCGUGAUGGCCGCCACUGGGCUUUGGGGGCACAGGCCAUCGAGGGAGGGGAGGGGCUUCCGGAGUCCUGGGACACAGGGUUGGCGGGCCAGGGUCCCCCUGCUGAUUUUCCAAAUCAUCAGAAAAGCCACAGAGGGGAGUACAGGCUGGGCUUGGAGGGGCAGCCUGUCCUGGUCCUAUGGCAUCUGCGUUUGGGGUAUGAGGCCACAGCUGGAAGCAGAAAAUCCGGAUCUGAUGCUCAUUCCAGAGGGAUUGUGUCUCAAAUGGCCCGUUGUGAGCUGCUGGCGGUGGUUCUGCUCGUGGCUCUCUGGCUAAGUUCACCGAGGGCUUCUGUUCAUUCUUCCACUGCUCGGCUCAGCCCGUGGCCCCUCUCGCUGGGUCCAGAAGCGUUGACCUGACCCGAGCUGCCGUGGCCCGCUGGGAGGACACAGCACUGGGAGACCCUGCAAGGAUGAGAUGCCCUGUGGUUAUUACUGCUGUUAAGGCAAAAACAAAACACACAUUGGUAAUUACUUCUUUUAAAAACGUCUGUUGAGAGCUCACAGCCAACCUGGCACCGGGUGAGCACGCCCCUGCCCGCGCAGUCUGCAGCCUCCGGGGGGUGGGGGGGAGCCAGGCGGUGGCCACAAACCACACCAGCAAAUGUGACAUCACAGACUGUGGGCUGCUGUGUGCAGGUGGCCUGCCGCUGGGGUGAGUGCCGGGGCCAGGAGGGGUCUGAACUCGAGCAGCCUCCUCAGGGCACAUGGGUUUGGGACACAGUCUCAUCUGUGGAUGGAGCUGCUGGGAGCCUGGGCCCUGGGGUGGCUCUGUGAGCAUCCUGGGGCCACGGCCUGGAGGCUUACUCAGCAGAAAUGCAUUUCCUCCCUGUCCUGGAGGCGUGGGCAGGGCCGGCUCCUCCAGAGGCCUUCCUCCUUGCUGGCUAGACACCGUCUUCCCUCCCUGUGUCCUCACGUGGCCGUCCCUCCAUGUGUGUCUGUGUCCUGAUCCCCUCCUCUUGUAAGGACACUGGUCACAUUGGAUAAAACCCACAGGACCUCAUUUUACUUAGAUCACCUCUUUAAAGACCCUGUCUCCAAAUAGAGUCACG